rnacentral:rRNA from 1 species
UCAGCCUACGGGAGGCAGCAGUGAGGAAUAUUGGUCAAUGGCCGAAGGGCUGAACCAGCCAAGCCGCGUGAAGGAAUAAGGCCCUACGGGUCGUAGACUUCUUUAGUCAGGGAACAAAGGGUGCCACGUGUGGCGCUGUGAGUGUACCUGAAGAAUAAGCAUCGGCUAACUCCGUGCCAGCAGCCGCGGUAAUACGGAGGAUGCGCGCGUUAUCCGGAUUUAUUGGGUUUAAAGGGUGCGUAGGCGGUUUGUCAAGUCAGCGGUAAAAAUUCCGGGCUCAACCCGGUCCCGCCGUUGUAACUGGC